rnacentral:rRNA from 1 species
GCAGUCGCCGCGGGAAUACGAAGGGGGCUAGCGUUGUUCGGAUUUACUGGGCGUAAAGCGCACGUAGGCGGAUCGAUCAGUCAGGGGUGAAAUCCCAGAGCUCAACUCCGGAACUGCCUUUGAUACUGUCGAUCUGGAGUAUGGAAGAGGUGAGUGGAAUUCCGAGUGUAGAGGUGAAAUUCGUAGAUAUUCGGAGGAACACCAGUGGCGAAGGCGGCUCACUGGUCCAUUACUGACGCUGAGGUGCGAAAGCGUGGGGAGCAAACAGGAUUAGAUACCCCGGUAGUCCCUGUCUCUUAUAC